rnacentral:rRNA from 1 species
CACGUAGGGGGGCAAGCGUUGUCCGGAUUCAUUGGGCGUAAAGAGCUCGUAGGCGGUUCGAUAAGUCGGGUGUGAAACCUCCAGGCUCAACCUGGAGACGCCACCCGAUACUGUCGUGACUAGAGUCCAGUAGGGGAGCGUGGAAUUCCUGGUGUAGCGGUGAAAUGCGCAGAUAUCAGGAGGAACACCGGUGGCGAAGGCGGGUCUCUGGGCCGAUACUGACGCUGAGGAGCGAAAGCGUGGGGAGCGAACAGG